UUGCUAUCUGCGAUAUGGAAGAUUCGAACCUGCCGCAGGUUCGGGUCUCACGUAGUGAGACAACGGAGCCGCUUGCGGCGACGGCCCGAAGGGCGAGGCGAAGCGAGUCAUCCUGCACGACCCACCA
rnacentral:sRNA from 1 species